rnacentral:rRNA from 1 species
CUACGGGCGGCAGCAGUGGGGAAUAUUGCACAAUGGGCGCAAGCCUGAUGCAGCCAUGCCGCGUGUAUGAAGAAGGCCUUCGGGUUGUAAAGUACUUUCAGCGGGGAGGAAGGGAGUAAAGUUAAUACCUUUGCUCAUUGACGUUACCCGCAGAAGAAGCACCGGCUAACUCCGUGCCAGCAGCCGCGGUAAUACGGAGGGUGCAAGCGUCAAUCGGAAUUACUGGGCAUAAAGCGCACGCAGGCGGUUUGUUAAGUCAGAUGUGAAAUCCCCGGGCUCAACCUGGGAACUGCAUCUGAUACUGGUAAGCUUGAGUCUCGUAGAGGGGGGUAGAAUUCCAGGUGUAGCGGUGAAAUGCGUAGAGAUCUGGAGGAAUACCGGUGGCGAAGGCGGCCCCCUGGACGAAGACUGACGCUCAGGUGCGAAAGCGUGGGGAGCAAACAGGAUUAGAUACCCCAGUAGUC